rnacentral:tRNA from 1 species
CAAGGACUUAAGUUAACGAAACUGUUAGCCUUCAAAGCUUUUAAUAAGAAUGAAACUUUCUUAGUCUUUGG